UACGAAGGAUCCAAGCGUUAUCCGGAUUUAUUGGGUUUAAAGGGUGUGUAGGCGGGGGAAUAAGUCAGUGGUGAAAUCCUGCAGCUUAACUGUAGAACUGCCAUUGAUACUGUUUUUCUUGAGUAUAGUUGAGGUGGGCGGAAUGUGUAAUGUAGCGGUGAAAUGCUUAGAUAUUACACAGAACACCAAUUGCGUAGGCAGCUCACUAAACUAUCACUGACGCUGAGGCACGAAAGCGUGGGGAUCAAACAGG
rnacentral:rRNA from 1 species